GGACAUGCCCCAAUUGCUAAAAUAUGGCCCCAAAAAACUCUCCAACAGACUACCUGCCCUCUUCCCCGUAUCUAGCCGACCGACUAGCCGUGCCCCAAAUCUAGCUCGGGAUCCCAUCCCCAGCAUCGAGCUCGGCAAUCCCCAUCGAGCAACCGCCGACACGGAAGUUUCCCUCCCGCCGUUUCUCCGCCAGGGUGUUGUGAUGGAUUCCCAAGAUGAUGCAAUGGGUAUGUAUACCAGUCCGUUGAGUCAAGUCGUUGUUGAUGAAGUUUGGGAUGACACUCAAAAUUGCAGCCCAUUUGGAGAGCAAUCAAUGCAAAAUGAACUUGGUACUCUUCCCAUGAGACCAAACAACAAGAGAACAAGAAAUUUCACCAACGAGGAAGACCAAGUGUUGGUCUUGACAUGGUUGCAUGCUAGUUCGGAUCCAAUAAUAGGGAACGAACAAAAGAAUGCUACUUACUGAAAGAGAAUCCAUGAGGAGUAUGAAAUGCAAAAGCCUGAAGGAAGUGAUCGGAAUAUUAGUUCACUCAUACAUCGUUGGUCUGUUGUGAAUGAACAAGUGGGCAGAUUUUGUGGUUGUUUUGAGAAACGCAAGUGGGAAGACAGAACAAGAUAAGAUUGUUGAGGCUUGCUCACUGUACAAAGCAACAGACGAGACUAAAAGAUCAUUCGUUUUGUUGCAAUGUUGGAGCUUGCUACGUUUCAAUAAAAAAUGGUUAGCUCAAAUUGAUAGGUCAUCUCAAAGUAGCAAAAAACUGGAGUCAAGUCCAAUGCAAGUCCAAGUAUGUCCAGAUCCGACACUAAACAUAUUGAUGACUCUGAAGCUACAUCUCGAGCCAAAGCAGAUCACUUGAGGAGACCUAUUGGCAAGAAGGCGGAGAAAGAGCGGCAAUGCCGAGGUAAAAAUGCUAGCUCGAUUGAUGAUAGUUCUAUUGUGAUGGCUUUGAAUCAUGUGUUUUCAAAGAGGAGAGAGGUGGAGGAAGCAAGAGAGAUGGCAAGACAAUCAAGAGAGAUGUCAAGAGAGAUGGCAAGACAAUCAAGAGAGUUAUCAAGAGAGGCAGGAAAAAGGGAGCGUUAUGCUGGACUACAUGCAAUUGAGCAAAGAAAGGUAGAAAUACAGGAGGUAAGUCACGAAAUGGAAAUCAUGAACAAGGACUUAAGUUCUAUGGAUGAGGACCAACAAGAGUACUACAAGAUGUUAAGACGUGAUAUCAUUGCCCGACAAUCUAAAAGAUAGAUUUGAACUAUUUGGUAUGAAAUAUUUGUUGUAUGGACAACUUGUACUAACUAUCUGUUGCAUGGACAACUUGUAUGAUAACCCAACUUAUUCCAUAGCAUUCUAGUAUCAGCUUCA